rnacentral:rRNA from 1 species
UACAGGGGGUGCAAACGUUGCUCGGAAUCAUUGGGCGUAAAGAGCUCGUAGGCGGUUUGUCGCGUCGAAUGUGAAAACCCGGGGCUCAACCCCGGGCCUGCAUUCGAUACGGGCAGACUAGAGUUCGGUAGGGGAGUCUGGAAUUCCUGGUGUAGCGGUGAAAUGCGCAGAUAUCAGGAGGAACACCGGUGGCGAAGGCGGGACUCUGGGCCGAUACUGACGCUGAGAAGCGAAAGCGUGGGGAGCGAACAGG